AUUUCUUCUGUGGCUACCAUUAUCUACUAUACAGAACCCAAGAGUUGUGUUUAUGUCAGCUCACAACAAGGGUUGUCCACAUAUAGUUGGUAGUUGAGAUCAUUCAGGAAGAAUAUGAAGAAUGAGUAGACCAUAAGACAGAAACCUGAGGAUGGCUAGUAUUUAGAAAUGCUGGAGAAAGGAGAAUCCAUGAAAAGAUUGAAAAGUUUAAUCAAAGGAGGGAGAGCGGGAGAGCCAAAAGUAAGUUGUCACCAAAACCAAAGGACUUAAAAGUUUCAAGGAAAGGGUGAUGAGCAAUUUCAAAUGCUUCAAAAAAGUCUAGUAAUACCCAGACUGAAAAAAAAAAAAGCUAAUCUUAGCUAUUAAUACUUGACUGAUGAUCUCAGUAGGAGCUGAAUUGAAGUAAAAGGCAGAUGUAAGGACUGAAGCCAGAUUUCAGUGCACUGGAUGGUGAACAGGCGGUAAGGAAGCAGAAACAAUGAGUGUGACUUGAGAAGCUUGGCCACUAAAGGAGUCAGGUAAAUGAAGUACACACAGUCAAAGUGGCUCUUACUUGUAUUUUUCUUUUAAGAGCAGAGAAUGUUGAAUAUACGUUGAAGAUGCAUUUGAAAGAGAAGCUAAUACAUGGAGCAAGAACUGAAAGCAGAAAGAAGAUGGAUCAAGAGGACAGAUGGGGAAUCAAUAAAAAUAUGAAUGGAGAAGUGUGUAAGAUUGGGCUGGAGCGGACUUCUGGGUUCUUUUCCAUUUCAGUUUCACUGCAAGGAGCAUCUUCUAUGGGCAUCGGUAGCUUUCCCCACCAAAACCAGGACCCAGGGCUCCAACAUACGACACAUAAGGUAAUGUGUCCAAUCUCUAUUUCUUGCCCCAAACCUUGCUCCAGCUUUAGGGUGGUUGGAUUUUUUUGUCUUGUUUUGUUUUUGCGUUCCAGAUAAACCCAUGUCUAACUCCCACAAGCUCUUCAAAAACUGCAAGUUGAUGUAUAUUCUCUAUCCCCUCCAACUUGUUUCUUCUAUAUCCCUAAGUCUGUUAGUGGCUCACAAAAUCAAGAAAUUUAGAAUCCUUCUUCUCACUCACAUCACAUCACAAAGAUCUAUCUAGUCUUCCUCCGAGUAUCUCUCUAUUGCAAGUUCCAGGGACCUGGAGCAGAUUUCAUCAACUUUCGUUUGAAUCACUGGAGUAGGCUAACUGGUCUCCCCCUCUCUAGCACCUCUCCUCUCUCACCUACUAAACACAUUAUCUCAGUUAUUCUUCCAAAAUUCAGAUAGGAUCGCUUGUGUAACUCCCAUAGUGAAAAGCCUCUUACGGCUCCCAUGUGCUUACAGAAUAAAUUUCAAAAUCUUUAUCUUGUUGUAAAAUCC
rnacentral:lncRNA from 1 species